GUUUUAUACAUGACUAUCAUAGUAUUUGUCUCUUAUUGUGAAUAACCUGGUUAAAUUAUCAUUGAAAAUAAAUUAUUGAAAAAUAAAUGACCGAAAAAAAUCUUUGCGGUCUUUAAGUUUGGUUUUUCAUAAAUUAUAGUUGAACGAGGAAGUUGUUUUGAAGCAUUAUAAGUUGAAUAAACUCUAAAGGAU
rnacentral:misc_RNA from 1 species